rnacentral:lncRNA from 12 species
GGACAGCAUCCAUCAUCUGGCUUCCUUGAGCACUGUCUCAACACCGUCUGUCUUUGCUUUACAUACAACUCCCAGCAAACAGGAACUGGAGACGGAAGUAGCAAAAUAGCAACAACAACAACUUAAUUGGCCCCCAGAGAGAGUAGAAGUCAGGGAAGACGGCAGGUGUUGCUGAUAGAGAACAAUUUCAUAAACUACAAAACACUCCACCUGUGUAAGUGUGAACAAUUGAGUUUUAAAAAAGAUUUAUUUACUUAUUUAUUUAUUUUAGAGAGAGUGUGCACGGGCAUGAGUGGGUAG